rnacentral:tRNA from 1 species
CGGUAGCUCAGUGGAAGAGCAGCUGCCCACGGAUUGGCGAAGGUCGUGGGUUCGAGUCCCACCCG